AUUGAACGCUGGCGGUAGGCCUAACACAUGCAAGUCGAACGCGAAAGUCCUUCGGGAGUGAGUAGAGUGGCGGACGGGUGAGUAACGCGUAGGAAUCUAUCCUGUAGUGGGGGAUAACGUUUCGAAAGGAACGCUAAUACCGCAUACGCCCCAAGGGGGAAAGGCGGGGGAGUCUUCGGACCUCGUGCUAUAGGAGGAGCCUGCGUCGGAUUAGCUAGUUGGUGAGGUAAAGGCUCACCAAGGCGACGAUCCGUAGCUGGUCUGAGAGGAUGAUCAGCCACACCGGAACUGAGACACGGUCCGGACUCCUACGGGAGGCAGCAGUGGGGAAUAUUGCGCAAUGGGCGAAAGCCUGACGCAGCCAUACCGCGUGAGUGAUGAAGGCCUUCGGGUUGUAAAGCUCUGUCGGGAGGGAAGGAAGGCGCAAGCCUGACGGUACCUCGCAAGAAAGCACCGGCUAACUACUGUGCCAGCAGCCGCGGUAAU
rnacentral:rRNA from 1 species